UCGUCCAUUCGAGUUGGGAGCUGAGAAACAUGGAAACCCAAUCAGAGACCACUGAAGAAACCAUGGCGAGCAUCAAAGACAAGCGUCAGGAACUCGAAACUCGCAUUCUGGCUCAGCACUCAAGCCAGUUGGAGCUCCUCUCUUCUCUUGAAUCUCUCGUUCCUGAUAUUGUCUCUUCUAUCGACCUCUCUCUCAUGGUCGUAUCCUCCUUCAAUGGCCGCCCCUUUACUCCUACACCCAUUCUCCCUGAACCCAAAAACAAACCCUCUAAAUACCCUUUGUUGACUACUAACUCUGUGCCCCACAAAUCCCGCCCUAAUCUUCUUCCGUCAGGAGAAGCCAAACCCG
rnacentral:misc_RNA from 1 species